GAUUUCACCAACCAUAUGCUACUGUGAAAUCUGGAGAGCCAGACUCAGGCAGGAUAAGCUCAUUCUGGGCUUGGGACCUACUGACUGGUUUCAUAUGUGGCUGUGCAGCGGAGAGGCCCCCAAAGGGAUGAUUCCCAAGGAAUCAAGUGUCUCCCGAGUGGUGCUUCAUGUGGAUGGCGGCCACGGGGGAGGGCAGAGAUUCUAACAGCAAAUAAGAAAGAAGGGAACUGUGAACACAGAGGGAAGGUGAUGUGAAGACACAGGGAGAGUGCCAUCUAACAGCCACGCAAUUCCCAAGGCUACCAGAAGCUAAGAAAGAGGCGCAGAACAGAUUCUCUGUCACAUCUCUCAGACAGAAUCAACUUUUUCGACAUGCUGAUUUCAGAAUUCUAGCCUUCAGAACUGUGAAAAAAUACAUUUCUGUUCCUUAAGCCACUGUUUUGUGGUCCUCUCAUAUGGUAACCGUUGGAAACUCUAGAGUAGGGGAGGACCUCUGAGGUUACAUUCUGAUGGGCAUUCCAGGACAGUGUGCGUGGAACCCAGUGUUCAAAGUUGAGGUCAAAGCAGUUACAGUAUUUUUAAAUAUAAAUCUGUAAAAAAAUAUAUUCAGUGGGAACUAAGCUACAAAACAAAUCUGAGUGACACAAUAUUCCAUAAUUGAAACUUUGAAAUGGUGGGAGUCCUUACUCCUGAACUGACUUCAUUACCUCUGGCUUCAUCCUACAGAAUGUGCUUUUCUGACGUCCGCUGCAUCAGACUGCCGGUCACGUCCUAGGGAACUGAGUCUCUUUUAAAUGUAAAGGUCAAAGGUAUUUUACUUUAAAUACUAAAAUAGACACCAAUUUUAAACAUUCCUUUAACCCUAAUUCCCCUAGACCUCUGCCACCUCUGCACAUAAUGUGUUUGAGUCUCCACCUGAACCUAAGCUGGACUGCUACAACUUUGGCAGAACCUCUUUUAGGAAAAUUUAUAACAUUCCUUAACUGUCUGCUCCAGGGUAUCACUUACUAUAAGAAAAUUCUUUUUGGGUUCCCUUUGAAACCAUAGUUCAAAAUAUAUGUGUUUGUUCUUGCAUUAUCUUUAGUAGAGAUAAAAAUUAUAUGAUAAGAUAAAUCUAUGUCCAUUAGGGGAAAAAGAUCUAGAUUAUUCCCCAGUCUUCAGUAAAUAACCCUAUGCUUCUAACCUUAAAGGUGUUGGCUUUCAACUUUUAGUCAUUUGAAUACUUCGGGAGAGAUCCCUCAUCAGUUUCAUCACAUUAAUAUAUAAAUCACUAAACUGUAAAUGAAUUUUUAAGAUACCAUGUAAAAAUAAUUAGCAUGCAUGUUGUAAGGAGAACUUCCCACAGUAAAAUUUCUAGAUAGAAGUUUAAGUCCUGUACACUGAACUCCUCAGAUGAAAUAAGCAUAGGGGUUCUUUAAUAUUCUUUUUAAAAAGAAGGCACAAAGAUGUGGUGAAACUGUUUUGCUUGCCACAUCAGCAUUCCUUGAGAGGAGAGAAAGAAAAGGGUAUUCUUCAGUUUAGCUCUACAAAGACUUCAAAACAUUUUGAUUUUCAAAGACACUUUUAAAGAGCUAUAAAACUGCUUGUCUCCCAUCCAGAGUAUCCUGUACACAAAUGCAGUUUUAAUUUUUAUAAAAUGCUACUUUGAUCAUGCAAUUCCUUGGCCAAAAUUGAUUAUGGCUUCUUACUGUGUGUCAGAUCACAUCUAUGCAUUUCAAGAUCAUUGAUAAUCUACACCCAUCCAAUAUAUCCCAAAUAUUAUUUCACAUUUCCCCAUCAUAAAGUUUAUUCCUUUAUUUUACUGCCUUUUUCUCCCCUUGCCAACUCCAACACAUAUGGGUUUAUAUACAUACACUCUGUAAAACACAUAUGUGCAUGCACAUACACACACACAUAAACACAUCCCAUAUCUCUUCUGGCCUUUUUGGGGACUUUUAUUUAUACUUUUUCCCCCUCUUUUGCUAUUUGCUUAAAUCUUUUCUCCUAGCCAGAUUCUAAACUUCCUUAAAGCUUCAUUUCCUUCUAGAAAGCUCCCCUGAUGACCUGUACCUCAGUUAUCCAUCCACCUUCUUAUCCCUGCUACUUAUUCAGUAAGACUAUCCAGCAAUUGGUUAAAUACUACUCUAUAGUGCUUUCUAAAUUUUUAUGAACAUACAGGCUAUGUUAUAAUUUUUAGGCUUCUUACAUAUCUCUCACUGCCAAUCAUGAUAUCCCAAAUAAAACUCAUAAUCUUCAUUCCCAUUUAAGAUCUUCCAAUGGGUCUAUUCUGUUCCUUCUUAUUUCAGACAUAGCUCCAUUCAGUUGGGUGAAAAAACCAGAAUCCUGGUAAUCAUUCUUGAUACUUUCUCCUCACCAAGCAUAUCCAGUCUAUCACCAAAUAUUUAAAAAUAUAUAUAUUUGGAACAUAUGCUUUCAAAAUUGACAUACAAUAAACUAUAUAUUUAAAGUGUACAAUUUGAUAUAUUCCUUUGUAAUCUCCUCCCUUCUCCCUCACCAUCCCAUCAACUACUGCUCUGCUUCACUCAGUAAAGUUUAGUUGAAUUUUCUAUAAAUGGCAUCCUAAAGUAUAUACCCUCUCUAUCUUCUUUCAUUCUACUUCUUCACUCAGCCUAAUUAUGUUGUGAUUCAUCCUUGUGUGUAUCAUUUCUUCAUUUCUUUUUAUUGCUGAGUAGUAUGCCAUUGCAUUAUAUAGAUGUAUCAGAAUUUGUUUCUCCAUCCACCAGUUGAUUGGCAUUUUACUUGAUUGCUAUUUGGGGGAGAUUAUGGAAAAAAUUGCUAUAAGUAGUCACAUAAGUCUUUGUAUAGAUGCAUUUUUUUUCUUCUCUUGGGUUAAAUACAAAGGAAUGGAAAGGCUAAAACAUAUAGUAGAUGUUCAGCCUUUUAAGAAACUACCAAACUACUACUUUUCUGAAAUGGCUGUACAUUCCUACCAGAGUUUCAGUUGUGCCAAAUCCUUGCCAGCAAGAAGUACCAUGUAGCUCUGGGGGAAAGGGUGUUCCUGGCCACGGAGGAGUCGCCUAUGAAUUCAAUGAAACUGAAGCAAGUCAAGGGAAAGGGCAGGUUGGGAGAAAGGCUUUUAUUUCUUACAGCUUGCUCGGGAUAGCUAGCCAGCCCCAGCUCCGUCAUCUCCUCCAGCAACAGCUCGUGCUCUCUUCCCCUGCCCGCUCCUUUCUGUGGGCGAACUCUGUGGGCGGGACCCUGGUAAUUGGCAAACAGGAGACCAGUUACCUACCAGAAAUGGAGGGGAGGAGAGAAUGGCUGUUUUCUUUUCUCCCCUUGCCCUGGGUGGGCAGAAGGCUCCGAAACAUCCAGGGGUAUGUAAAUGGACUAAGGCCAGAUGGGAGAUUCUGGAAAUUCUGGAUGAAAACUUUCAUUUACCCCACAUAUAGUCACUGUAGUGCAGGAGCUCAGCUCCUGGCAGGUUCACACUGGAUUCAGUGAGACUGAAAAACAACAUUAAAGGGUUAAUACCAAACUUCAUUCCCUCAGGGGCUGGUGGAGUGCUGGGUUCACAUCCACUAUAUCCAUAUGCAGCAAGCAAGUCCACAGCAGACAUCUUUUUAUAACAGCACAGAUACUAGCGGCUCACUGCCAACAAAUACCUAAGUCGGCACAUGCACAGUGGGGUUAGUAUUAUAUAAGCAGUGAGACAGCAUUGCACUAAUAUGUAUGUACUGGCAUCCCAUAUUUUUAAUUUGCACUUCUCCAGUGACUAAAGAUGGUGAGAACAUUUCCAUGAGAUUAUUUGUCAUCCAUUUUAAUGAAGUGCCUGAUCAAAUCCCUCCCCUUUUUUUACUGGAUUGUAUAUUUUGUUAUUAUUGAGCUUUGAGAGCUUUUUAUAUAUUGUGG